UACGUAGGUGGCAAGCGUUGUUCGGAAUUACUGGGCGUAAAGGGCGCGUAGGCGGUGUGUCAAGUCAGGCGUGAAAGCCCCGGGCUCAACCUGGGAGCCGCGCUUGAGACUGGCACGCUAGAGUUCGGGAGAGGAUGGUGGAAUUCCCAGUGUAGAGGUGAAAUUCGUAGAUAUUGGGAAGAACACCGAUGGCGAAGGCAGCCAUCUGGACCGACACUGACGCUGAGGCGCGAAAGCGUGGGGAGCAAACAGG
rnacentral:rRNA from 1 species